rnacentral:rRNA from 1 species
CGAACGCUGGCGGCGUGCUUAACACAUGCAAGUCGAACGGUGAAGCGCCUUCCUUUUUGGUGGGUGUGGAUGGGUGGCGAACGGGUGAGUAACACGUGAGUAACCUGCCCCCUUCUUCUGGAUAACCGCAUGAAAGUGUGGCUAAUACGGGAUAUUCUGGGUCUGUCGCAUGAUGGGUCUGGGAAAGAUAUUGUUUCGGUGGGGGAUGGGCUCGCGGCCUAUCAGCUUGUUGGUGGGGUGAUGGCCUACCAAGGCGGUGACGGGUAGCCGGCCUGAGAGGGUGGACGGUCACACUGGGACUGAGACACGGCCCAGACUCCUACGGGAGGCAGCAGUGGGGAAUAUUGCACAAUGGGCGCAAGCCUGAUGCAGCGACGCCGCGUGAGGGAUGGAGGCCUGCGGGUUGUGAACCUCUUUCGCCAGUGAAGCAGGCCUGCCUCGUUUGUGGGUGGGUUGACGGUAGCUGGAGAAGAAGCGCCGGCUAACUACGUG